rnacentral:lncRNA from 1 species
AAACAGGGCUAGAUCUGAGCCCACAGGAAUGCUCUCCCCCUCCUCCUCCUCUGUUUGUGUGUGUGUUUGUGUGUGUGUGCCAAUUUCUGAUUAAUUAUGAUCCCUGACAGACCUUAUUAGGGUAGUUUGACCUGGGCUAAGACCUCUCAUCUGUCUUUGCUUUUUGCAGAAUUGGGGCAUAAUCACCUCCUGUGGGCAGUGAGCUUCACUUCUGACAAAUCAUUAACUUGCUCUCAGCUCCAGGAGCUUCCCUAAGUGUCACAGCCAGAAGGCCAAAGAGCAUGGCAUGGAUGUGUACAUCCCCUCCAGGGGCUGAAGCAGCUGCUGCACAGUAUCUGGUCUCUCCAUCACCUGCCAGACCUGCACCAGCUGUUUUACAGCUGUGGGGGUGCUCCCACCCCCUGUCCUUCAUACAUUAUUGACAGACAGGAGCCAUAGCCUCUUCUCCAUUACUAGUCCCAGACAAGUCCUACAACCUUCUCCCAAAGAUGUUUUUCCUCUGUUGUUCCACAGUGUUCUACAGUGAGCAAGACCCUGACAUUUCAUGAUUCAGGCAAUAAAUGACACAUAGUUAAAAAAUAUACGUGACCUGUCUAUCAUCUGCUGUUAGCCCAUUCCUUGCAAGGAGCGAGUGGCAGCUCUCCCCAACAGGUCUCAUACCUUGUCUCCUAGGUGCCUGCCUUCUUCAAUCCUCACCUCAUUUUAGAGCUGCUAAAACAUCAGUGGGUUUGUCUGAGCCAAAACCCCACACAAGACUAAAUUUUUGUUCCUCAGCUCCUUUGAUGCUUCCUGCUGCAGCCGUUCACAUGCAAGGUGCAAGUCAAAGGAUGGAGCAAGAUGGACCCUCUGCACAGUCUGGUACCCCAUGGGCAGAAAAUGAGCUUCCCUGUAUUGCUCCCUUGGACUUGUGGAAUUUUUUCCUUGAGAAGUUUUGCCAGAAGGAGAAGGUGGCCUGUCCCAUCCCAUGGUGUGGCUCUAGGAAGGAAGUGCCACUCUCACCUCAUAUGCAGCACAGGGCUGCUGAAAAACGUCCCUGCUGCGCUGGAGAAGUCCCUCAGGAACUGUGUUUAUGUGAUAACAUACUUUUGUUACAAUAUAUGUGCCCAGCUCCUCUUACAGAGUUCACUGUGGUUUUCUUUCUGCUGCUGUAUUCCAGCACCUUCAAACAAACUUCAAAAUCACUUCAGUGGCCCUGUAGUUGUCUCCAGGUUGUUUGCCAUCAUCUCUUGCAAGCUGGAAAUGAAAUCUUUUAUCUCAUGGAAGACAAGACACAGAUGAUGUGUGUGCCUGGAGGGGUGUGGGUUUAAGUGUGGGUCCUGUUUGGGAGCUUUAAACUCACGAGCUAUGCAAGAAAACCAGCCCUACAACUUCCCUCCCCUGGCUUCUCUCACUGGGCUUCACUGCCUUAGUGCUGAAAUAUCCUCCCAAAAGUAGACUGACAGCAACGGUGGGGAGGUGCUUCCAUGUCCAACCUGAUGCACUCGGUCUGGGCUAUGGAAGUGCCUGAAUUACACCCUGCAGCUGGGUUGUUAACAGCAGUCAUUAGAUAUGCACUAGCAUGUGAGAGCAAGUGGCUGUAUCCAGCUUUGGGAGAGAUUUUAAAUAGGCAGCUCUGGCAGUCCUCUCAGUUUCUCUCAACAUGAGGAUUUUCUGCUUUACUGGUUUAUUUUUGGAUAUGCAGGCUGCAGAAAAAAUAAUUUUGUUAAUAGAGACAUACAGUCUCGUUUGUGAAAAUAACUUCAUAAGUAUGGGAGAACAUGGUGCUGUUUUACUUAAAUCUGCACAUGUUUUGCUGACUUAGAAGUUGGUACUGCAUUUCAAAGGCUAACUCACUAAGCCUGAUUGGUAUCCUUUAUCUUUUGAUGUUUAAGAAAUUUUUCUUUCCAAAGUCUUCUUUUCUUUCAAGGGACUUCAAUGAAAAUUCUUCUUUUUCCCACCUUCAGAACUGCAUGUAACAUCCUUCAAUUCUCCCUGAUUUAUCUUCUGUAUUCUCUUGACUCAAGGCAGAUCAUAAAUUUAUGAUCUGGUAUUUUAUUUAUUUAUUUAUUUUUAAUUUCAGUCCUGCAUUUUCAGAGACAUUUAUUUCACCCUAAUGAAAAUAAUUUAUCUGCUGGGGUAGAUGCUUGUCCAGUAUACUGUGGUGUCCUACCAUGGCAAUAGGGACAAUAAAUACACCAACUGGAAGCA